AUGACGAAGAUGAUGCCGUGUGACUCUUCAGCGAGUGGAGCAUUGGUGCCGAGCGACUCGGCGGCGAUGGCGGCUGCGGUGACGGCGGCGACGACGGCGGCGGCGGGGAAGCUCCCAUUCCUGCUGCUCGUGAGGACGAACUACGCGGCGUGGGGGAUGAGGAUGAAGUACCUCUUGCGCGCCAAUGGCGCGUGGGCUGCCGUUGAUCGCGAGGACUCCUCCAAGGAGGUCGACGCGGGCAAGGAGGAGAUGGCCAUGACUAUCGUCUCCGAGUCGAUCGACGACACGACGCUGCUGCGAGUUGCCGAGAAGGAGACCGCCGCCGAUGUGUGGGCGGCGCUUCGCUCCAUGCAUGUGGGCGUCGAGUGCGUCCGAGAGGCGAGGAUUCAGUCCUUGCGCUCGGAGUUUGAUAGCCUCAAGAUGGGCCAUGCGGAGUCCGUGGAUGAUUUCGCAGCGAGAAGCUGCUCCGAGCUCUCCAACAAGUUCAUCCACGUUGAUUCGUCGAUUGCGUUGUUCAGCGACACCAACAAGAUGGCCAUGGAGGAGACCAUUGGUUCACUCAAGGCGCACGAGGAACUCGUCAAGGGGCGGGAGACGGGACGUGAAGAAGAGCAGCUCCUCAUGGUGAGAGGGCAGGACUCGUCGCGAGAACGGGGCCGUGGCCGUGGCGGUGGACGGGGUGGAGGCCGCAAAGAUAAAAGUGAGGUAGAGUGUUAUAAUUGUCAUGAACUUGGGCACUUUGCUUGGGAGUGUCCGGAGAAGAAGGAGAAGGAGGCGAAGGCGCUGCCUGGCGUUGAGAACGAGCCGGCUCUUCUUUGA
rnacentral:rRNA from 1 species